GCCAGUGUGGCUCAGUGGUUAGAGCAUUUGGCUGGUAGACCAAAGGGUCCAGGGUUCGAGUCCCGGUCAAGGGCA